rnacentral:rRNA from 1 species
GAUGAACGCUGGCGGCGUGCCUAAUACAUGCAAGUCGAGCGAACAGAUGAGGAGCUUGCUCCUCUGACGUUAGCGGCGGACGGGUGAGUAACACGUGGAUAACCUACCUAUAAGACUGGGAUAACUUCGGGAAACCGGAGCUAAUACCGGAUAAUAUAUUGAACCGCAUGGUUCAAUAGUGAAAGACGGUUUUGCUGUCACUUAUAGAUGGAUCCGCGCCGCAUUAGCUAGUUGGUAAGGUAACGGCUUACCAAGGCAACGAUGCGUAGCCGACCUGAGAGGGUGAUCGGCAGCUCUGGAGCUGGGACGCGGUCCGACUCCUACGGGAGGCAGCAGUAGGGAAUCUUCCGCAAUGGGCGAAAGCCUGACGGAGCAACGCCGCGUGAGUGAUGAAGGUCUUCGGAUCGUAAAACUCUGUUAUUAGGGAAGAACAAAUGUGUAAGUAACUAUGCACGUCUUGACGGUACCUAAUCAGAAAGCCACGGCUAACUACGUG